AUCACCCAAGAAUGGCUCAAACAUAAAUCAGUAGCUCCGAUAGAAACAUUCCCUCCUCGAUAGAUCCGAUUCCAGAAGUCUCCAAAGAGAAACCUCCUGACUCAGAGCUCCUCUCGCGUCUUUUCAGUCUACUCUGACUCCUCUUUGAGAAGCUUUGAACCACCAAACUCCUGAAAAGGUCCAAAACUUAUACCAAUAGCCAUGGUUUCCCUUUCUCAGUAGACCCGAUUCCAGAAGAAUCCAAAGAGAAACCUUUCUCUCCCUCGACUCCUUUCACCGUCUUCGUCGUCUCUUCCGACUUCUCUCCUAGAAACUCUCAACCAUUGAACCCCUAAAAGUCCCCAAUCAUAACCUCAGAAAUCAGAAACUCCCAAAUCGUAUAAGCUACCACCCUUCGACUGAGACUCCAACAUUCUUGCAAAGAAACCCUCAACUUAAACAAUAGCUGGAGAAAGUGAAUCUAAGGGGUUGAAGAGAAAAAUAAGAGUUGGUGAAGAAGGAACUUCAAAGAAGAAAUUCACUGUUUUAAACUUUUUUAUGGCUUUUAUUCGAUUGUAUGUUGUAUCUAGUUUCUUAAGUACUACAACUUGUGUUUUUGUUUUAUAAGUGCUUUAAAUAUAUUUUCAAAUGCUCAUUUUCCUAAAAUCAAGUUGUGAUGAUUAUACUAUGGCAAUCCAUUUUCCUGUUUAGUUUCUAUAUUAUGAGAUGUUAGUUUAUGUUUUUUAUAAUGAUUUUUAAACUUUUGGUAAUCUAUUUUCGUUUGUAAAUUGUUUGACGUAAACAGUCAUAUUGUUCUAUAAACAAGCCGCAGUAAAAUUGUUGAUACAGCAGUGAUACGGAAU
rnacentral:lncRNA from 1 species